AUGAGCAGUUGAUAGAUCACACCAAGGCACUAUCAGGGCGCACUUACAAGUUAGUCAGUCAGCUUUUAGAACAUGCACAGGCACAGGCUGCACGAUGAAGUUCUCGGUGCAGUUCCCAGGAUUUAUUGUUGUCUGUUUUUGUUAUUUGGAAUUUGUUUAUCUUGUUAAAAGAUAAGAUUCAAACUAGAAAAAUUUAUGCUUAUCAAUCUUUUCU
rnacentral:misc_RNA from 1 species